rnacentral:rRNA from 1 species
AUGACGCCGUCGCCGGCGUCCACGUCAGCCCCCGACGCCGGCAUGCUCGGCCGCCGCCUCGUGCUGCUUCCGGCGAGCGCCGCGGCGUCGUUGGCGCGCGGGGAGCGGAGGAGGGCGCGGUUGCGGCUGGGGUGCGUGCUCGAGCACGUGGCCCCGCGGCUCGCGCUGGCCUCGGCCGCGCUCGUAGGGGCCGGGGAGGUGAUCGCCGCGGCUGCCGUCGCGGGGGGAAGCGGCGGCGCGGUUCACGGCGCCGUGGCAUCCACGAUCGCGCAACUGGCGGUCUCGGCCGUGGCGAUCGCCUCGGGGGCGUGCCUGUCGACCAAGGUCGACUUUCUCUGGCCUCGCAUCGAGCAGCUGCCUGAUACUCUUGUAUUUGAAGGAGUGGAGGUGACAGGAUAUCAAAUAUUUGAGGAUCCAAAGGUGCAGAAAGCAAUUGUAUUUGCAAGUACAGCUCACAUUGGGCAAUUUAGGAGAACAGGAGACCCAUAUGUUACACACUGCAUACAUACAGGGAAAAUCUUAGCUGCCUUGGUCCCAUCCACUGGAGAAAGAGCAAUCAAUACCGUUGUUGCUGGUAUUCUUCAUGAUGUUAUUGAUGAUACAGCUGAGAACCUGAAGAGCGUAGCAGAGCAAUUUGGGGAUGAUGUUGCAAGCUUGGUAUCUGGUGUAUCAAAACUGAGCUACAUAAAUCAGCUACUGCGCAGGCAUCGGCAAAAAAACACUGGCGGAAGCACUCUUACUUCUGAAGAAGCAAACAACCUGCGUGCUAUGCUAUUGGGGAUGGUUGAUGAUCCUCGUGUGGUGCUUAUCAAGCUGGCAGACCGCUUGCACAAUAUGCGAACAAUCUAUGCUCUUCCCAUUCCAAAAGCAGAGGCUGUUGCUCAAGAGACAUUAGCUGUCUGGUGCUCACUUGCUUCUCGAUUGGGAGUCUGGGCUUUGAAAGCUGAGCUAGAAGACUUAUGCUUUGCUGUCCUUCAGCCCCAAGUUUUCAUGAAAAUACGAUCUGAACUUACUUCGAUGUGGAAUUCUACCAGCAAGGAUAAAAGCAUGAGAAGGUCAUCAAUUAGAAGUGAUUUGCUUGCCUCCACGAAGGAAGUGCACGCGACUUCCACCCAUGAUCUACUUAGUUCGAACGACCAAGAACAAUCAAAUAUGGAGGAUUUAUUGCAAGCUGUAUUGCCAUUUGACCUCUUUUUGGAUCGGAGAAGGCGCUCUGACUUCCUUAAUAAUCUCCAAAGUAAUUCUGAAGCAUCCAUACGAAAGCCUAAAAUUGUUGAUGACGCUGCUAUUGCAUUAACAUCUUUAGCAGCUUGUGAGGAAGAACUUCAGCAGGAAUUGCUUAUAACAACGUCGUAUAUACCUGGGAUGGAAGUUAGGCUGUCAAGUAGACUCAAGAGCUUAUACAGCAUCUACUGUAAGAUGAAAAGGAAACGUGUAGGCAUUAGGCAAGUAUACGAUGCUCGUGCGUUGAGGGUGAUUGUUGGAGACAAAAAUGGUGCAUUGCAUGGACCUGCAGUCAGGAGUUGCUACAGCAUCCUUGAUAUAGUACACAGGUUAUGGACUCCAAUCGAUGGGGAGUUUGAUGACUAUAUUAUCAACCCUAAGGGCAGCGGUUACCAAUCACUCCAUACAGCAGUUCAGGCAUCCGAUAGCUCACCGCUGGAGGUCCAAAUUAGGACCCAGCGAAUGCAUGAGUAUGCAGAGUAUGGACUGGCUGCGCAUUGGUUGUACAAGGAGAGCAGUGUUAACACGGGGAGUGGCAUGAGCAACAAGAUAAAACAAAGUACGUCGUAUGCAUCAAGUUCUUCAGAAGAUGAAAUAACAGACGGUAUGCCCUCAAAGUAUAUUUCUAUGAAAGUGGGGCAUCCGGUCCUCAGAAUUGAUGGUAAUCACUUACUGGCAGCUGUCAUUGUCAGCAUAGAAAAAGGGGGCAAAGAAUUGCUUGUUGCUGUACGUUUUACCCUUGAAGCUUCUGAAGAUGUAGCUGAGCGACGAUCUUCCUUUCAGUUGAAGCGUUGGGAAGCUUAUGCUAGGCUUCAUAAGAAGGUAACUGAGAAAUGGUGGUGUGCACCAGGACAUGGUGACUGGUCAACAAAUCUGGAGAAGUACACACUAUGCCGGGAUGGUAUAUACCAUAAGCAAGACCAAUUUGGGAGACUUUUGCCAACAUUUAUUCAAAUAAUUGAUUUGACGGAAGAGGAAGAGGAGGAGUACUGGAUGGUUGUAUCUGCAGUAUUUGAAGGCAAAGAAACCUCCACUCUGACAUCUGAAUCGAGCAACGGUGAUAGAUCAACUUCCGACCUUCCAAUCUCUACUCCCUUGAGUGAUCCCAUCAACAACAAGGUUCAUUUGCUCAGGACAAUGCUUCAAUGGGAGGAGCAAGUACGGCGUCGAGCAUCGGUAGCGGAGAGAAGUCUCGGCUCGCUGACCGAUCCAAUUCUUCGUGAGGUAGCCAUCAUCUGCUGGCCGUAUGGGAAGAUAAUGAGGAUGAGUACUGGCAGCACAGCCGCUGAUGCUGGUAGAAGAAUGGGCGUGGAUGGGAAGCUGCUUUGGGUGAAUGGCCAACUUGUGCUGCCUCAAACCGAGCUCAAGGAUGGAGAUAUAGUGGAAGUGAGGACGUAG